UACAGUGUAGAGUGGCAGUAUCAUAGCCAAUGAAGUUAAUCUGAGGCGUGAUUAUUGCUAGUUAAAAACUUUUCCCAAUGUUCAAGGUGCCCAGAUUAGACCACUUAUCCCUUAUUAUUUAUACUACUAGUUUAGC